UACAGAGGGGGCAAGCGUUGUUCGGAAUUACUGGGCGUAAAGGGCGCGUAGGCGGCCGCCUAAGUCAGACGUGAAAUCCCUCGGCCCAACCGAGGAACAGCCGGGGCUACGGCCGUGCUAGACGGCAUCAGGGGACAGUGGAACUUCCGGUGGAGCGGUGAAAUGCGUAGAUAUCAGGAGGAACACCGAUGGCGAAGGCAGGUCUCUGGGCAUUAACUGACGCUGAGGAGCGAAAGCAUGGGGAGCGAACAGG
rnacentral:rRNA from 1 species